ensembl:ncRNA ZK809.10 ncRNA
GCCUCUCUCCACGUCUUCUUGCCCUCUCCAAAUGUCUCCGUCUCUAUUCAAAUAACAUAUUUCUUUCCUUUUCUUAUUUGUUUUGUACCUGUUUCUCGCCU